ACUCAAAUGAAUUGACGGGGACCCGCACAAGCGGUGGAGCGUGGGGUUUAAUUCGACGAUAAGCGGAGAACCUUACCAGGGUUUGACAUCCCGGGAAUCUCCCGGAAACGGGAGAGUGCCGCAAGGAACCUGGUGACAGGUGCUGCAUGGUCGUCGUCAGCUCGUGUCGUGAGAUGUUGGGUUAAGUCCCGCAACGAGCGCAACCCUUGUCGUAUGUUGUAUUUUUCAUACGAGACUGCCUGGGUCAACCAGGAGGAAGGUGGGGAUGACGUCAGAUCAGCAUGGCCCUUACACCCUGGGCGACACCCGCGCUACAAUGGCAAGUCCAAUGGGUUGCAAAACCGCAAGGUGGAGCUAAUCCCAUCAAAGCUUGUCCCAGUUCGGAUUGGAGGCUGCAACUCGCCUCCAUGAAGCCGGAAUCGCUAGUAAACGCGGAUCAGCCAUGCCGCGUUGAAUACGUUCUCGGGUCUUGCACACACCGCCCGU
rnacentral:rRNA from 1 species